UGUGAGAGCGAGCUUGCUUGCGAAAGCAUCGUGUCAGUCGAUUAUGAGAUGACUGAUUCACCGCAUUCGCGAGCAAGCUCGCUCCCACG
rnacentral:antisense_RNA from 1 species